AAGAUCAUACUUCACAGGAUCAUUUCUGUAGUAUGUUUCGCCCGCAUUGAUUCUCUUCAAUGCGCUCAAGACACCCACGAGGAUGAGAUAUAACUGUGUUACCUGAGCGUGAGGAGGAUGACACAACCCCUUGGGGUUGCGUCAUCAUCGAUGAUCGUUCACCAAUCGCCCUAGGGUGGAUGGGAUGGUAACUCAGUUGUCUGAGUGGU